UAAAAAAUAAGCCAACUGAACACAAAUCGAAGACUCAUGCAAAGGGGGGAUCUAACGUGCAAAUAUGCCAUUUAAACAAAGAAGGCGCGGAUCCGGGUACCCAGCGGGUUGACGCGCGGACCUUCUUUGUUUGGAACGGCGCCAUUUUCGAAACCCUCCCCAAGCCUUCCUUUAACCUUUCCUUCUCCUUAAGUCGAUUUUCUUCCCUUUUGAAAGCCAAAAACCCUUAAAAAUAAACAACAUGGUUCUAUUAGCAAGCCUCUGUUGAAUCACCAUCAUUUGGUGACCAACUGCAUGCAAACAAACGCUCCAAUUACACCAUUGAUGGAGCUUACCCAUACCUUGAAGAAUCCAAUAAGUAUGGAGCGAUGGUCGUACGGAGAAACGGAGAGAAGCAUGCUCAAACGGAACCAUGUGAGGAAUUCGCUCGUAAAUCCCAACUUCCUGGCAAUGUUCUAGUACGUUCCAGAUACUUGGUUGCUGGAAUACCUUUCUUUUUUGGGCUUUUUCGGGUUUGGGCUAGAUUUAGGGCCUAGGUUUAUAGAAUUGGGUUUUAACAUUUGUUAGGUUAUGAAUUAUUUUGGUACAUGCAUUGUAAAGGGACUUUGCUGGACUAUUUAGUCUUUGGAUUUUACUUAUUUAUUCGGGUUUAUUAUUUGCAAAUGAAUUAAUUGGGCCCGGGCAAAAUUGGUUAUCUACAACUGCCCCUAUUUGCUCAUUGACGUGUAACGGAAAUAGAGCAAAGACUUCAAAAGAACCGAUUUUGCUCGGUUUUGUUGAGUUUCA